rnacentral:lncRNA from 1 species
CUUUAGUAAAAUUAAAAUAUAUGUAUAAUAAUAAUUUAAAAACUCAGAUGUAUUCUAAGCAAGGCAAUAUAGAAAUAACUACUUUACAAUAUAAUUUACACUAUUUAAUCAAAACACCAAGAAACUGUGCCUGUGAAUAAUUCUACAAGGACAUGGAGAAUAAGCAUGUUAGUGGUAGUAUAUGCUGGUGUAACCACUUAUACUGCACUAGUAAAGAAAACUAAACAUUUAGUGUCUUAUCUGCAUAAGAUAGUGUUUCUGAAAUAUCCUGUAUAGAUCCUGCAGAUUCCAAAUUGGUGAUAGGUGUGUGGCAAAUCCUACUCUAUUUUUCUGGAUGCAUAGUCCCAGAGUGACAAUUUUUUCAUUCUUCAUUCUCUACUUUUCUAACCCUUUCCCCUAGGCUGCUAGUUCUGGUAACUAACCUGUCUUCCCUUCUCCUGGAAUAUGUUUCUCUAACUGAGCUGUCUACCUGAUAGAGAUCAUAAAAAGUUAAAAACAUAAGUAGGUAUCAGUGUCUGCGAUUUCCUAAAUAUACCCUACACUGACAGUUUGGCUGAGCCAAGAAAAAAUUAGAGUAGAAUUUAGAUACAAAAAGUGGGGAAGUGACAUUCAGUCUUAAGAUAUGAAAAUGGCAUAGCAGGAAAAAGAGAAAUUGAGGGGAAGAAAGGAGUCAGAGAACAGUGAUUAAUUGGCAAGUGAUACAUUGGGAGACAGGAUAGGAAAGUGAAGAGAAAGGAACAUAUAAUGGAGGAGGUGAACAUAAAGAAGAAGCUAAUGAUGGUUAAAGAUAGCCUUCUUAGAAUGUUAGAAGUGAUAGAGAAAAAGAUGGAGAAGAAAAAUUAGAAAGGUAAAUAUAGAAUGGUUGAGGGAGAAAGAAAAGAAUAAAGGUAAGAAAGUAAAUGAUAAAGGUAAAGAGAGAGGCAUUGGAAUUUAAAAAAUGCCAAGAAUAUUAACUAGGAAAAAACCCGACAAAAACCAACACACACAAAAGAAAUAUAGAGUGCAUCACAACUAAACUGAUAUUUAGAUCUCCAUAUAUAAAAUGAAAAGUUCAUCUGCCUUUCAGACAUGCAAAACCA